UAGAACGUCAAUGGCUUCUGCUGUUUCCAGGUAAAAUUCUAACGUGUCAGCAGGCUGGGAGACUUUGCCAUUUGACCCCACGUGGCUUUCCAGCCUCUCAUCACUCCCCUACACCACGGCCAUGCCACUGUAUGUCGCCUGCUGCCGCAUGCCUUUCUUAUGCUGUCCCCACAGCACCUGCCUCUUCGCUCAGCACAACCUGCUUAUAAGGCCAUCAACUCGUCUGUGUGUGCUUGGCACAGCAUUUUUUAUCUGAUUCAUAAGAGACCUCAGCAAACACUUGCUGAAUGCAGUCUCCCUUUCCUGACCCAAGUUAGCAUAUGUGUCAUGUUACUUCUUUGGAAUUUUUAAAGUUCCUUUUAAAAAUGCCAGUUCUUCCGUCACCGCCUCCCCCAACACCUUCCUUCUCCCCCUGGUGGUCCCCCACCCUGGUCCCCGGGAGCCGCCAUGGAGACUGUCUGGCACCCAGUGACCUACACUCUCUGGGAAGCCUCGGCACCAUACUGUGUCCUAUCCCUGCCUUCUGCUCUGCUCUCCUCACUCUCAGCAGGUCCUCAUGAAUUAAUGACUCUCCUUCUAGCUAUUGGCACCCUUAGCAGUGCCCCUCGGCAUCUCAUUCUUUUGGUUCCCGAUGUAGGCACUAUGUCUCCUUCUUGGGAAGUAGUGAAGUGGUUCUCAGAUCCUGUUCCAGAGGAGAUCCUGGGGUUCCUUCAGCUACUCAGAGAUAUUUUAAGACAAAAAUAAAAUCGAGGUGGUCUUUCUCCAAUUCAGAUAAGGCUAGAAUUCUCUCAAUUCUGGAUUUCAUCACAAAUAAGCCUUCAUCCUUGGCAUUUGCUGUCACUUGUCUGUUAAUGAGAAUUUGUGGUUAGUUGGUAAAACGAAUGACUUAGCAGCAAAAAAUGACCAUCAAUAAAAAAAGCCUUGUGAGGUUUCUUCCAAUAAUUUCAUGGAUUUUUCCUUUAGACGUAGAGACUUGCAUCCACAGAAUAGAGUCACGUUCUCUGCUGGUUUCCAUGCUCUUGGUUCACACGAUGGAAGGGUUCCCAGUGCACACCUGCUUCCCAAGUGUUCGGUCACCAAAUAACCUUCAGGACUGAAGGCACAGUGGUUCACAGAGUGGGACGCAGGCAGGCCUGCUGCGAAUCCCUGGCUGCCUGUCUGUGAGCUGUGUGACACUGGGCGCAGUGCUCCCCUUCUCUGAGCUCAGGUUUCCUGAUUGGCAGACUGAGGAAUGGUGCUGGCCUCCCAGGGCUAUUGUGAGGUUAACCAGGAACUGCCUGGCUCAAGUGGGUGUGGAAUAAACGAUGGCAUCAGUAUCAGUACCAUGGGUGAGUGGUGAGUGCUGGGCUGGGGCCGCAGAGGAUGCCUCUCUGUUCUUCUGUGACCCUGGCUCUGCCUCUUGGAGCUGUGGGACCUCAGGCAAAUCGCAGAACCAGAAUCUUCAUGGCCCUUUUGCAGGAGAAGGAAAAUCUUGCCCUAGUGUUUCAUCAGCAUCUGAGGAAAACCUUUCUGAAAUGAGCAAAUCUGUACAACUGAAGGGUGUCUUUGCUAUUUGUAGCAGAUGGGGCUGUUGGAUUAUUAACUUUGUGCAAACUGAUUGAAUGUGUAGAAAGGGAACCUAUUAUUUGGAGGCCCGAGGGUCAGCCCUGACUACUAAUAAUGAUAAAAAAUACUGAGAACCGCUAACCUUUAUUGUGUGGUGCACAUGAAACGAGGCAUCAUUCUAAGCACUUACAUGAAUUAACUCAUUUUAUGUUCAUGGCAGCCUAAUGAGGUAGGUGACAUUUUUAUCCCUGCCCUUUUUUUUUGAAUUAUGGUUAAAUAUACAUAACAUAAAAUUGACCAUUUUAACUAGUUUUUAGUGUGCAGUUCAGUAUGUUGAGCACAUUCACAUUUGUUACACAUUAUCUCCAUUUUUCACAUGAAUAAACAGGCCCAGAAGAGUGAACAAACUGGCCCAAGGUCAGGUCACAAGUGUAGGUACAGGCAGGACUCGAACCUGGACCCUCUGUCCUAGGGCUGUGCUGAGCUGCCUCGUGCUGCCUCCCACCUGGACAAACACCCUGCCGUUGACAGGAAACCCAUGGUGGGUGAGCAGAAUGAACAACGGGAGAGGACGCUGGGGUUGACUGUUUGGGUCCUCCCGGGCUGAGGCUUAGCACACUCUCUCUCAUCGGGGCUCACCAUCUUUCCAGGUGCUCUGCAGUACACGUGCUUGCCUUGGCCUACAACACUCAGAGACAAGAAUGGACAGGUGCUGCAUGCUACGGGGCAGUGGCAGGUGAGCUCGGGUGUGCACACGGGCACGUGGCUGGGCCACCUGCUCUGGUACUUGCUCCCUGUUCUGUGCUGCUGGCCACACGUGAGCCUGCAGAACAUUCCACGCAGUAGCCAAGGUCAAACGGCUGUGUGAAGCUGGGCUUUUGGUCUCUUGCUACCAUCUCCUGCACCGGCUCUCUGUGCCCUUCUCCGUGAGCAGCCUGGGCAGUGUUUUCUGCUCUCUAAGGUGCUGGAACACCAGAAGGCUCCUGUGGCAGUCUGGGGUGGGUAAUGACCCCAAAAAGUGAAGCAACACUUAUUCUUUGGAACUUUUCUCCUCCCUGCCUCCACCCCCCAGAGAAGGCUUGCCCAGGACACGAUGGCUGGCUCUGCCUGCUGCAUUUCGCAAGAGGAGGGCUCCUCACACAAUAGGGUCCACUGGGAAAACGACAACGAUCUGGGGGCAUGUUCCAGCUGUGCUGGGGGCUCUGAGAAGAGACCUGGCAAGUUCAGGGAUGAUUUUUGAGGGGGACCUGAUCGCUCACACCCCCAACCCAACCAUUUGAAGUCUGCACUCUCAGAGACAACUGCCAGAAAGCUUUGAAACAAGUUUAAAUCGUGCUGCUUUUGCUGAAGCAGGAUUUUGACAUCUCAUUUUUGCUUUCUGGUCAUGAUAGACCAGGAACGAAUGUGCACAAGGAUGGGCCUUUGCAUGACCCCGACCUCUGGCCUGGUUUGGAAGUGAGGGCGGGUGAAGAGUGUCUUUGUAUGACUGCUUUGCAGGCUUGUCUCUGAUCUGUCGGAGGCGGGAUGUGGAGGAGGAGGCCUUGUGGGAGCGUGGCAUGCAGAAGACGGGAAGCAUGCUGCCAUCUGGGUCACACACCUGUGCUCGGGAUUGAACCGCCUGCCCAGAGACAGAUGGUGCCCUGUACCCAGCAGGACAAGAAGCUGGGACAAGAAGCGAGGAAAGCAGAGUUUGGCCCUGACGGGAUGAAGUCUGACUCUCUAGGGGGCAUCCAGGGCCACCACCAACUGGCACCAACUGGUGCCAGACUCAGGCAUGAGCAGGACAGUAACAUCCUUGCGGCAGGACUUCAGUCUGCUGGGAAAGCAAGACCCUGAGCCACCCACCCGGCCCAGCGGCCUUCCAGGCACCGAGUAUCGGCUCUCUCCACUCACCGUCAGCAGUUGCGGGAGGAAGAGGUGGGGAAAAGCCUGCUUAAUGGGUACAGGGUGUUAUCUGAGGGAAAUUAAAAUGUUUUGGAACUAGGAGAGGUGAUGGUUAGCACAAGACUGUAAAUAUAAUAAAUGUCACUGACUUGUACACUUUCAAAUGGUUAGUUUUAUGUUAUGUGAAUUUCACCUCAAUUGAAAAAAAGGAAAACCAGCUGCCCCACAGAUGGGCUGGGAUGGGCUGGCCCCCUGGGGAAGGUCACUGGGGUGGCAUCUGAUCAGCACCCUGAUGCUGAGAGGGAGCUAGCCCCACAGAGGGUUCCAGGCAGAGGGCAGCGCGAGGACAGAGGUCUGAACGGGAUGCGCUUGGCCCCUGCGUGGCAUGGGUGGACAGCCAGUGUGGCUGAAGUGCUGGGGUGUAUGUCUGCAGAGUUGGGAGGCGAGAGAGGAGCUGGUAGUGGGAAGGAGGCA